UCUCUUUUUUAUCAGUGCUCUGAAAUUUUGAAAUUGAACUUCUCCGCUGAAAUUGAAAGGUCCCCAACUUAAUUACUAAGCUUUAUUACUUCGGUUGGGAAUUCAUAAAAUCGGAACUCAAAGUUUUAAGCUCCAGUUCACUUCAAAACUAACAUGGCAGUGGCGCCCGGAUCUUCUUGGGAUUUGAAGAAUUCUGACCCUAAAGCUGCGAUCACAACGGUGUCCGCUGGCGUUCACUACCCCCAUCCAUGUCGGUGACAGUUCUCUCACCCUACUUCAACCCUCCCAGAUUCCAAAUCUUUUAUAAAAUCUUGGGCAGCUACAGAUUUUAUUUUUGGAAGUUCUGAUCGCGCAAGCAAGUCAUGGGGCACCAAUGGCUACGGCCAAUCGGUGUCCACUAGCGGCAGUGUUGGCUCUCCUACAACCGGGAGUGAGGCGAUUCACAACACUCCCCCACUGAUAAGACUUCUAUUAGGCUUAAUCAUAUAGAUGCUCAUGCUGAUAAUGUUGCAUCUCAAGCUACUGACAUGUGAGUGCUUAAUUUGUUGUAUUUUUGAGUGUUUUGCUUUUGCAAUUGAGACCGGAUUAUACGGUGAUUUGAUUUUUUUCAUUAGAAUUUGGAGCAAUUUUGUCAUCAUUGGAUGGUAAUUGUUGAAUUUGGAAAAGUGGGUGAUUUUUCUUUUGGGUUUUUAGACUAAUUACUAGCGUUUGAGCAUAAAUUUUGCUGAUUGUGUGUAUUAAGCUUUUUACUAUAUUCUGAGCUGUGUUGUGAGGAGACAGUGCAUUGGACUCCGCCAAUCGAGCAUGAAAGGUUUGUGCAUUUGUCAUUCUAUGUUGCGAUAGUAAUUUUCUACAUAUGUUGUUUGAUAUAUAGUUGAUGUUUAACCAAGAGCGCUUGUACUGAUCAAUGGGUGCAUUAUUUUGUAUUGUCGAUAGUUUAUGAGAAAGUGCAAAGCAAGGGAAGAACUACUUAUAACGAGGUUAAAGAGGAAAAAGUGUGAUAAAAAACAUAAUCUUUUGGAGUGGCUCCUAACAGCUACACGUCUCCUUCACAGGUGAAGAUGGCUGAAGAGACUGUUGAGAGAGUUGUUGAGAGAGUUACUGGUUUAAACCCGAUGUUCCAAGCUAUGCUAUCUGAGAUAUCCACAAUAGGCAUGCCAUCAUAUUCCCGGAGCCCGUCUGACACAUUAGCUGAUACUAUUCAGGAUGUUCUAAAACAACACUUCUAUUAGCCUACUCCUAUGAGUCACUUGCCUGCUCAAGAUCAGAGAGCCCAGAAUGGUUUCCUACUGGUU